rnacentral:tRNA from 1 species
UGGGGCGCGGCCAAGUGGUAAGUCAACGGGUUUUGGUCCCGCUAUUCAGAGGUUCGAAUCCUUCCGUCCCAG